CGGCAGGCCUAACACAUGCAAGUCGAGGGGUAACAGGAAAGCUUGCUUUCGCUGACGACCGGCGCACGGGUGCGUAACGCGUAUGCAACCUACCUCAUACUGGAGAAUAGCCCCUGGAAACGGGGAUUAAUACUCCAUGGUAUCAUUCUUUCGCAUGUUAGAAUGAUUAAAGAAUUUCGGUAUGAGAUGGGCAUGCGUCCCAUUAGCUAGUUGGUGAGGUAACGGCUCACCAAGGCGACGAUGGGUAGGGGGCCUGAGAGGGUGGUCCCCCACACUGGUACUGAGACACGGACCAGACUCCUACGGGAGGCAGCAGUGAGGAAUAUUGGUCAAUGGAGGCAACUCUGAACCAGCCAUGCCGCGUGAAGGAUGACGGCCCUAUGGGUUGUAAACUUCUUUUGAAUAGGAAGAAACUUAUCUACGUGUAGAUAACUGACGG
rnacentral:rRNA from 1 species